rnacentral:rRNA from 1 species
GACGAACCGUCCGAACGUUAUUCGGAAUUACUGGGCUUAAAGGGUGCGUAGGUGGCAGGGUAAGUCGGAUGUGAAAUCCCGGGGCUCAACCUCGGAACUGCAUUCGAUACUGCUUUGCUUGAGUACUGGAGAGGAGAUUGGAAUUUACGGUGUAGCAGUGAAAUGCGUAGAUAUCGUAAGGAAGACCAGUGGCGAAGGCGGAUCUCUGGACAGUUACUGACACUGAGGCACGAAGGCCAGGGGAGCAAACGGGG